GACGAACCGUGCGAACGUUGUUCGGAAUCACUGGGCUUAAAGGGCUCGUAGGUGGCCAACUAAGUCAGACGUGAAAUCCCUCGGCUUAACCGGGGAACUGCGUCUGAUACUGGAUGGCUUGAGGUUGGGAGAGGGAUGCGGAAUUCCAGGUGUAGCGGUGAAAUGCGUAGAUAUCUGGAGGAACACCGGUGGCGAAGGCGGCAUCCUGGACCAAUUCUGACACUGAGGAGCGAAAGCCAGGGGAGCAAACGGG
rnacentral:rRNA from 1 species